rnacentral:rRNA from 1 species
UAGGGAAUCUUCGGCAAUGGACGAAAGUCUGACCGAGCAACGCCGCGUGAGUGAAGAAGGUUUUCGGAUCGUAAAACUCUGUUGUUAGAGAAGAACAAGGACGUUAGUAACUGAACGUCCCCUGACGGUAUCUAACCAGAAAGCCACGGCUAACUACGUGCCAGCAGCCGCGGUAAUACGUAGGUGGCAAGCGUUGUCCGGAUUUAUUGGGCGUAAAGCGAGCGCAGGCGGUUUCUUAAGUCUGAUGUGAAAGCCCCCGGCUCAACCGGGGAGGGUCAUUGGAAACUGGAGGACGUGAGUGCAGAAGAGGAGAGUGGAAUUCCAUGUGUAGCGGUGAAAUGCGUAGAUAUAUGGAGGAACACCAGUGGCGAAGGCGGCUCUCUGGUCUGUAACAGACGCUGAGGCUCGAAAGCGUGGGGAGCAAACAGG